GCGGUCGUGGCGGAAUGGUAGACGCGCAACGUUGAGGUCGUUGUGGGCGCAAGCCCGUGGAAGUUCGAGUCUUCUCGACCGCACCA
rnacentral:tRNA from 1 species